GAGGGUGUAGCUCAGUGGUAGAGUGCCUGCCUAGCAUGCACAAGGUCUUGGGUUCAAUCCCCAGGACCUCCA
rfam:Camelus ferus unplaced genomic scaffold scaffold14590, whole genome shotgun sequence.